GUCUACGGCCAUGCCACCCUGAACGUGCCUGAUCUCAGAAGCUAAGCAGGGUUGGGCCUGGUUAGUGCAUGGAUGGGAGAUCACCUAGGAAUACCAGGUGCUGUAGGUG
rnacentral:rRNA from 1 species